rnacentral:rRNA from 1 species
UACGUAGGGUGCGAGCGUUAUUCGGAAUUACUGGGCGUAAAGCGUGCGCAGGCGGCUUUGCAAGACAGAUGUGAAAUCCCCGGGCUCAACCUGGGAACUGCGUUUGUGACUGCAAGGCUAGAGUACGGCAGAGGGGGAUGGAAUUCCGCGUGUAGCAGUGAAAUGCGUAGAUAUGCGGAGGAACACCAAUGGCGAAGGCAAUCCCCUGGGCCUGUACUGACGCUCAUGCACGAAAGCGUGGGGAGCAAACAGG